GUAGGUGGCUAGCGUUGUCCGGAAUUAUUGGGCGUAAAGCGCGCGCAGGCGGUUCUUUAAGUCUGAUGUGAAAGCCCACGGCUCAACCGUGGAGGGUCAUUGGAAACUGGAGAACUUGAGUACAGAAGAGGAAAGCGGAAUUCCACGUGUAGCGGUGAAAUGCGUAGAGAUGUGGAGGAACACCAGUGGCGAAGGCGGCUUUCUGGUCUGUAACUGACGCUGAGGCGCGAAAGCGUGGGGAGCAAACAGGAUUAGAUACCCUGGUAGUCCACGCCGUAAACGAUGAGUGCUAAGUGUUAGGGGGGUUUCCGCCCCCCUUAGUGCUGCAGCUAACGCAUUAAGCACUCCGCCUGGGAGUACGGCCGCAAGGCUG
rnacentral:rRNA from 1 species